CCCUUAGAUGUUCUGGGCUGCACGCGCGCUACACUGAUGCGCUCAACGAGUUUUAACCUUGCCUGGAAAGGUUGGGUAAUCUUUUUAAAACGCAUCGUGAUGGGGAUAGAUUAUUGCAAUUAUUAAUCUUCAACGAGGAAUUCCUAGUAAGCGCGAGUCAUCAGCUCGCGUUGAUUACGUCCCUGCCCUUUGUACACACCGCCCGUCGCUACUACCGAUUGAAUGGUUUAGUGAGGACUCCUGAUUGGCGCCGCCGCCCCGGCAACGGAGCAGCGGACUGCCGAAAAGUUGUUCAAACUUGAUCAUUUAGAGGAAGUAAAAGUCGUAACA
rnacentral:rRNA from 1 species